rnacentral:pre_miRNA from 1 species
UUAUGUUUCACUUGGAAAAUUUGUUAAAAUGCAGACUCAGGUGCAUUAGGUCUGGGUGAUGCCUGAGAUUCUGCAUUUCUAACCUUAUUACAAGGGAACCUAAU